GGCCUGUUAGUCUAAUGGUAGACGUUGACAGAUUAUAAUCCAUACUAUUGCAUGUCAGAGGUUCUGGGUUCGAUUCCUGGUCAGGCCA